rnacentral:rRNA from 1 species
AACGAACGCUGGCGGCAUGCCUAACACAUGCAAGUCGAACGAGACCUUCGGGUCUAGUGGCGCACGGGUGCGUAACGCGUGGGAACCUGCCCUUAGGUUCGGAAUAACUCCCCGAAAGGGGUGCUAAUACCGGAUAAUGUCUUCGGACCAAAGAUUUAUCGCCUUUGGAUGGGCCCGCGUUGGAUUAGCUAGUUGGUAGGGUAAAAGCCUACCAAGGCGACGAUCCAUAGCUGGUCUGAGAGGAUGAUCAGCCACGCUGGGACUGAGACACGGCCCAGACUCCUACGGAAGGCAGCAGUGGGGAAUAUUGGACAAUGGGCGAAAGCCUGAUCCAGCAAUGCCGCGUGAGUGAUGAAGGCCUUAGGGUUGUAAAGCUCUUUUACCCGGGAUGAUAAUGACAGUACCGGGAGAAUAAGCUCCGGCUAACUCCGUG